GAUGAACGCUGGCGGCGUGCCUAAUACAUGCAAGUCGAGCGAACGGACGAGAAGCUUGCUUCUCUGAUGUUAGCGGCGGACGGGUGAGUAACACGUGGAUAACCUACCUAUAAGACUGGGAUAACUUCGGGAAACCGGAGCUAAUACCGGAUAAUAUUUUGAACCGCAUGGUUCAAAAGUGAAAGACGGUCUUGCUGUCACUUAUAGAUGGAUCCGCGCUGCAUUAGCUAGUUGGUAAGGUAACGGCUUACCAAGGCAACGAUGCAUAGCCGACCUGAGAGGGGGAUCGGCCACACGGGAACUGAGACACGGUCCAGACUCCUACGGGAGGCAGCAGUAGGGAAUCUGCCGCAAUGGGCGAAAGCCUGACGGAGCAACGCCGCGUGAGUGAUGAAGGUCUUCGGAUCGUAAAACUCUGUUAUUAGGGAAGAACAUAUGUGUAAGUAACUGUGCACAUCUUGACGGUACCUAAUCAGAAAGCCACGGCUAACUACGUG
rnacentral:rRNA from 1 species